ACCACUAAGCCACAUUUGGUGAUGAUAGCUCUUAAAGUAGAUACGUAAUGCUUUUAUUCCACAGUACUACCAUUGCCUAGAAUAUUGUGGGAGAAGAUAAAAGCAUUAUUAAAAUUCUACUUUUAAAAUAUUCUUCACAGUCUGCUGCAUAGCUUUAUAAAUACCAUCAGUUGAAGGAGGAGGGAGACUAUGAACAAGUUUGCAAAUCAGCAAACGAUUUAUUGUAGUAGUCCAAUGAACAAGGUUAACAGGAUGGGAGGGGAGGCUAUUAGUCAUUACUCUUAGUGGCAAGUAACAGAAACCCACUUUGAACAAUCUUAGUGGAAAGAAGGAACCUUUUGACCAUUGUAACUGAAAAUUGCAAGGAUUGAGGUGGCUUAAAAAUUGCUGUAUUCAAGAUUUCAAAUAAGUUGCCAAAAAAUUAAGAAAUCAUCGCAUAAGAGUGACAAGAGCAGGGCCACAAAAACAGGCUUUUGUGUUAGUGCAGGCAAAAGAUGAUAGCAAUGGAGAUAAAAGGGUGGAUUCUAGAUCUGUUGGGGUGGGUGGAACUAAUCACUUGCUGAUGGAUUGGAGGGUGGGAUGAGGAAGAGAAAAGAAUCAAAGGAUGACCUUCAUUUUGGAGUUGAGCAGCUGGUAAGGCAACAAUUGGGAGGGUUAGGGGGAGAAGCAGGUUUAUAGUAGAAAAUCAGUAGUUCCAUUUUGGCACUCAUGUCUGCAGGCUUAGGAAUCAAACAGCCUGUUCCAAUUUCAGACUCUGCCACUUUCUAUCUGGGUGGCCUUCUCUGGGCCUCAGUUCUUGUCUGCAAAACAAUACUCCUAAGAAUUUUUGGGAGGGUUAGAUAGCUAAUGCACAUAACCCUGGCUUGUGAUAGGCACCUAAUGAUGUUGGCAAUUAUUUGAUACCUGCUGCUGAAUACAUCUAUGUAGUCUAUUGACCUUGAUCUUUUUUCACUGUAUCCUUUUGUGAUAAACAGAUGGUAGUCCCAUCAAGAAGAAGAAAUUCUCACAAGAAAAUUUGCCCAAGAAGGAAAGAUGAAUCCUUCAAAGUUAUUGCUUUUCUUUGUACUUUGAGGAUUUUUAAGUGGGGGAGAGUUCAUCUUUGUGAAAAGGACCCAAUAAUGUAUUUGCUGUCUUCCUUUGUCGUAUGCAUAAUCUUCAUUACACAAAGACUCAAAAUGAAUAAACCGCUCUGAAAAGUUGCUUAAUUGGGACAUAGAAAUCUCUUAUGUUUUUUCCAAAUCUAAAGAUACUAGUUUAAAAAUUAAAAUGGUACUGAGAAGGCUUGCAGUUAGAUGAGAAAAUCCUGUUUAUCCCUCCAUGGUGUGAAAUUAGGGUGUUGGUGGUGCGGGACCUAGAGAUGCCUAUGAGUACAAAGGCCUCUCUCCUGAAAUGGUCCCCUCCACUCAGGAGAGCAAAGCUGUCAGUGCAGAAAUUGGCCCAUCUGUCCCCAAUUGUUCUGUCUUUAUAUGGGUGAAUGAAUUUUGGCAAAGCUAUUGCAUUCAGUGGCUGGUACAUAGUAAGUACUAUGUAAGUGUUACAUAAGCUAGAUGUUUUUUAUCUUGAAAAACCCGAUUAUACAGUUUGUUUUACUGAGAGCUUCAAGAUAUGUUUCGUAACAACAGGGGCAAAAGUAGAACUUACUGUGGAAUAAUCUACCUUCCCCCACACCACUACCCCGCCUCCCCUUAGGCAGAAAACCACAUUGCCAGUAUUCUUAAAUGUUCUUUCAUAACAGGAUGUUUCUUUCUUCUUACACCAUCUGCAAACAUAUAGAAUUCUGUGCCUCCACACAACUCUAGUGCUAAUUCAACAGAGACUCUCCAACUUGUGCCUUCUGACCAUGCAAAUGAAACUUCCAACAGCACUAUGAAACUACCAACUACAGCUGCCUCAGUCCCCAGCAAUAAGACAGUCACCACCAUGAAACCCACAGCAGCAGCUAAUACGACAACACCAAGGAUGGUCUCAACAAAUACAACUGCCACCUUCAAGUCUACACCCAAAACAACAAGUGUUUCACAGAACACAUCUCAGAUAGCAACAUCCACGAUGCCCAUAGCUCACAAUAGUUCAGUGACAUCUGUUUCUUCAUCAGUAACAAUUACAGCAACUAUGCAUUCUGAAGCAAAGAAAGGAUCCAGAUUUGAUACUGGGAGCUUUGUUGGUGGUAUUGUAUUAACGCUGGGAGUUUUAUCUAUUCUUUACAUCGGAUGCAAAAUGUACUACUCAAGAAGAGGCAUUCGGUAUAGAACCAUAGAUGAACAUGACGCCAUCAUUUAAGGAAAUCACGGACCAAGGAAGGAAGACAGAUUGAUGUAGCCCUAUCAAUUAAUUUUGGUUUAUUAAUAGUUUAAAACAAUAUUCUCUUCUUGAAAAUAGCAUACAGGCCAUGCAUAAAAUGUACAGUGUAUUACAUAAAUAUGUAAAGAUUCUUCAAGGUAACAAGGGUUUGGGUUUUGUAAUAAACAUCUAGCGCUUAUAGAGAGUUAAUACAAUGGUUUAUAUUCACUUUUUAGCAAUUUCAUAGUAAGACAAGUCCUAUCUUUUUUUUUUUUUUUUUUGUGGCAUUGGUCACGUAUGACCAGUAAUUGAAAGAUGUCAUCACUGAAAGACAGAAUGCCAUCUGGGCAUACAAAUCAGGAAUUUGUCACAGCACUCAGGAUUUUGAGUAUCUUUGUAGCUCACACAAAGAACUUCAGUGCUUUUCGGAGCUGGAUAUAUCCUAAUUACUAAUGCUACACAACAGAAAUUAUACAAUCAAGUGAAUCAGAUCUGAAGCACAAUUUAAGAAAAACAUCAACAUUUUUUGUGCUUUAAACUGUAGUAGUUGGUCUGGAAACAAAAUAUACCAAGAAAAAGAAAAUUUUCAAAUAAAACCCAAAAUAAUACCUGUGCUUAGCCCUGUUAGAGAUCCAUUGAAGUAUUGAAGAGCAUAUAUGUUCAUUAAUAACUUCUUUUGAGCUUUCAAUGUUGAUGUAAUUUUUGUUCUCUGUGUAAUUUAGGUAAACCACAGUGUUUAAACAUGAUAAUGUUUUAAAGACUUAGUUACUAUUAAAUAAUCCUGGCAUUAUAGGGAAAAACUCCUAGAAGUUAGAUUAUUUGCUACUGUGAGAAUAUUGUCACCACUGGAAGUUACUUUAGUUCAUUUAAUUUUUAUAUUUCAUGAAUAUUUUAAGAACUGUAGAGCUGCUUUCUGGAAGUUUUUAAUGGAGUGUAAACACACCUAACUUUAAGAAAAAGAACCCCUUGUAUGAUUUUCAAAAUAACAUUUAGAAUUUGAUAGUAGUCAUAACUAUAGAGUAAUGCUGUGUUUAUUAAGCCAAGGAUUGUGGGACUUCCCUAGACUACUAAAGUUGCAGGACGAAAAUGCUGUAUUUUUUUUCAUGCACUGUCAGUUUUACUCAGAGAUUUGGGGAAAUGACAUUUUUAUACUGAAACACCAACAUUUUCGAAUAAAUUCUUAGGAAGUUUUGAGAGGAAUUUUUAGACAGGACAUUUUCUGCUUCCUGAUUGGGAUAUUUCUUCAGAUCCCUCCUCUUAGUCCAUGCUGAAGGAGAGGUACUUUUAGAUGCAUUAUGUUAAUGAGAGAAAAAGCACAGUACUGCAGAGACACCAGUAUUACCCAAUGUAUUCUGGAGUGUUUUCAGUUUUAUAAUAAAGUUUAUAUUCUAGCACAUAAAACUCAGGGUCAAGUUUUAGCAAGAGAGGUAUGUAGUCACAGUAAAUACUAAGAUUGCAUUUCUAUCUUAGAGGGCCAAAGUAAAUCACACCAGUUUCUGAAGGUCCCAAAAACAGCUGAGAUGUCCUAAUGAACAUGUGCCUACAUUUAAUAGGAAUGAAAUAAAACUGUUGUGGUCAGCUUUUGGUUUGCAGAGAAUGCUAGAUAAUAAGAAUUUUGAAAUGGAUUGUUUCUGCUUGCUGUGCAUUAUAACCAAUAAUCUGAAUACAGAAAAAAAAUUAUCCAAAAUAUGGAUAUAAUUAGAUGUAUGUAACGUGUAGACUAUGGAAGAAAUUUUUUGAAAAAUCCAUUUAGAUUAGUUUGAAAAGAAAUGUAGGCUGAUGGCUGAGUUGUAUAUGUUGCUAACUUGGCCCUGACUGGUUAUGCAACCAUUGCUUCAUUUCUUUGCAAAAUGUAGUUAAGAUAUACUUUAUACUAAUGAAGGCCUUUUAAAUUUGUCCACUGCAUUCCUGGUAUUUCACUACUUCAAGUCAGUCAGAACUUUGUGGACCGACCUGAAGUUUCUUCUUGAAUACUUGUUUCUUUAGCACUUUGAAGAUAGAUAGAAAAACAACUUCUUAAGUACUAAGUCAUUUUUUGGUUUCAAAUAGUUCAGUUAUGUCUUUUCUCUGUAUAUAAGUAGAUAAUUUGUUACUUUCAAAUACCAGUACUAGGCAGGUUUUUUUGUUGUUGUUAUCUAUAAAAAUUGAAGGAAGUGGUUAUGCAAAACAAUAUUUUGCUUUGGACCAUAUUUCCUAAGCAUAAACUUACCCUCCUAAUUAUAUUUACUUAAGAAAAUGCUCAAUUUUGCUUGCAUUCCUUGAGAAUGUAUUUAUUUGAAGAUCAAAACAAUCCAGAUGUAUGUCUGUCUACUUGGCAGAAGCCAGUCUAUAAUCUUAAAAUUUCCUUGAAUAAUCCAUUAAAGGAAUAAUUCAAAUACAGACAAACAAGAGUUGGCAGUAUAUUAUAGUGAUAAUUUUGUAUUUUCAGGAAAAAAACUCUUCUUUUUAUUAUAAUGACCAGCUUUUGGUAUUUCGUUGUUACCAAGAUCUAUUUUUAGAAUAAAAUUGUUCUCCAUC